CGGAAGCUAUGGCAUUAGAGCCACUCCCCUCUGCACUGUCAACAGGGAUCCACCUGGAUUACAGGCACCUCCUUGUGAUAGCUGCUCAACUGGGUAACCCCAGAGCCACAGUGGGAACACAGUACAUACCCACCAGGACCCCUUGGGAGACAAGAGGCCCACAGAACAGAGUGCAGCAGGGAGAUCACUACCAGUCCUUGCCUCUGUUGUACACACAGAAACCUCUGGAGCAGGACAUCUCUAGACACAACUAACUCCAAAAAAGGAAUUGCCUGUGGCAGGUUCUUCUGCAACUAUCAAGAGCUGGCGAGAAAAAGUGUCAUCUUUCUACCCACUCAAGAGCUCUUGCGUGGCUCGCAGUGCCCUGAGGCUUGAAGACAUUGGUCAUGCUGGAAAUCCCAGUGAAGAAGGGGGAAGAACACACUAGAAGGCUGCCGGGGAAGUGCUUCUACCACAGAAACUUCAGUGAAUGUGACGAGACUCCUCAGUCUUCAGGAUCCCAAUGGGUGUAAACCUCCAUUAUAAGUCUCUUGUGGAGGAAAAGUGGAGACCAGGAAUAGAAAUUGUGCUUAGAAAAAAUGACAGCGAGGAUGUAAGACUUUGCAUGUGAAGCCAGGGGAAACGAAACAGAGCUAUCCGGGCCACAGAAACUAGCAGUGCUGGCUAGCUGCGUCACUUCCUGGAAACAUGCUUCUGUUCUUAGCCCUGGAGCUCAUGGUGAAAGUGCAUUACCAGAACCUGAGCAGGAGUAAACAGCAGACAAACUCAAGCUGAAUAGCUCUGUGGAACAAGCAGCCUGAACUUCAGACAAGCAAACCAGCAAAGUCACACAAGGCAAAGGAAUGUCAAGGAAUUACCCAGAUGAAAGAAACCAAGCAGAACUCAGGGAAGUGCCGUGUAUGGUCCUGGACUGGAGAAGAUUCUUAGUGCUGAGCAGCAUCUGGCUUUACCUGACAAAGGAUGGAUGUUCAGUCCAUGUGUGAAAGGUCUAGAGGAAUGAAAAAGACCGGACCAUGACACAGAAAGAAUGUUCUGGAAGAGAAGACGGAUGGGCAAGAGGGUAAAACAGGAAGUUUGCCGGAGAAAUUUAUUUCUCACAGCUCUGGAAGCUAGGAAUUCUGAAAUCAAAGGGCCCACAUAUUUGGACUUCUACCUAUUAUAACAUGAAAAAAAAAAAAGCAAAAAACUGAGGCAGGGAGAAUCAGGUAGAAUCCCAGUAAUAACUAACUUUCUUCCUUGAAAAUAGACCAGGCCCAUUCAUGAUGGUGGUACCCUCACAAUCUAAUCACCUAUUAAAGAUUCCACCUCCCAGUAUCUUCACAGCAGCAAGUACAUCUAAAAUGAGCUUUCGAGGGAACAUCCAAACCACAGCAGCCUAUGUGCCAGCCAUGUACUGAUCCCUGGGGAUGCAGUAAUGAGCGGAGCCACGUCGCCCAGGAGAUGCUCACCAUCCGUCAGGAUAGAGACCUAAGACCACAGUGGCACCAUUGGUAAAGCCAUUUCCCAGUGAGGAGACAGCUGAAGUGCACCAGGGGCACAGAGGAAUCAUCAGCCUUCUGCUAGAAGUGUGUUUUGGUGAAGGCACAAAGUGACCCAGGAAAUAAUGAGGGACUCCUCAACCAUACACAUUCAUUUACUCCACAGCUUAUCUAGCAUCUUCUCUGCACUAAGCUCUGUGUUGAGCUUGAAAGCAGAGCUAUACACAAUCCUUGCCCUCAUAUCAUUUGUAGACAGAAGCCAUUAGCUGCAUAAAUACAUGCACAAAUGCAAAACUAAACCGGAAAACAGCUAGAGAUGAAAAAAAGCAAAAUAGAUGUUUGAGUUACAGAGUGUGACCGGCACACAAGGUUACCUACUUAUAAGAUAUAAUACUUAUGGUGGUUUGAAUAUGCUUGGCCCAGGGAGUGGCGCUGUUAUAAGGUGUGGCCUCGUUGGAGUAGGUGUGGCCUUGUUGAAGGAAGUGUGUCACUGUGGUGGUGGGCAAUGAGACCCUCCUCCUAUCUAUAUGGGAGCCAGUCUUCAACUAGCAGCCUUCAGAUGAAGAUGAAGAACUCUCAGCUCCUUCUGCACCAUGCCUGUCUGGACACUGCCAUGUUCCCAUCUUGAUGAUAAUGAACUGAACUUCUGAACCUGUAAGCCAGCCCCAGUUAAAUGCUAACCUUAUAAGAGUAGCCUUGGUCAUGGUGUCUGUUUACAGCAGUAAAACUCUAAGGCAAUACUAUAUCCCCUUCCUCUGAACAGACAAAAAGAAAGUAUUUGCUAUCUGUACUGGCUGGUUUUGUGUGUCAACUUGACACAGGCUGGAGUUAUCACAGAGAAAGGAGUUUCAGUUGGGGAAGUGCCUCCAUGAGAUCCAACUUUGAGGCAUUUUCUCAAUUAGGGAUCAAGGGGGAGGUCCCCUUAUGGGUGGUACCAUCCCUGGGCUGGUGCUCUUGGGUUCUAUAAGAAAGCAAGCUGAGCAAGCCAGGGGAAGCAAGCCAGUAAGGAACAUCCCUCCAUGGCCUCUGCAUCAACUCCUGCUUCCAACCCUGCUUGAGUUCCAGUCCUGACUUCCUUUUGUGAUGAACAGCAAUGCAGAAGUGUAAGCUGAAUAAACCCUUUC